AAAGGACCCUCAGCCAUUUCCAUGUGACGGCCACAGGCUGUGGCUGUGCUCUGGUCCAGCUGCAGCCACUGACAGGUGGGUCCGAGCAGUGCUCUGCUGGGGAUCUGAGGCCCGUGAGGAAGACAGUGCUUACCAGCCAGGGAACAUCUGGUGGACCCCAAGAGUGUGUGAGUGGGCAGUGAGAGGCUGCAGUUUUAGGUGCAUACCCACAGCCUAGCACCUGGCAUAUAUCCUUAUUCAUAGAGGCUUCGGUUCUGUUGGGUUGGACCCCCAGGCUGGGGGGCUUGGCAGCUGACACUGUUAUUUUCUCAUGGUCCUCUCUGGAGGCGGAGGUCAUCUCACAGUUCCUUACGAUGUAGGGAUGGGGGCAGUACUGCAUGGUCAGGAAGAGCAACUGCCUCCCAACCCCCACUUUUCCACGUUUCAGUCUUCCCCAGUCAGCUGCAGGUGCACAUGGCUCUACAGCUCUGCCCAAUUCUUGGAGACCACACCUAUGCGGCUCGCGUGGGCAGCGUUCUGGGCCAGCGCUUUCUGUGGCCAGCAGAGACUACCAAGCCCCAGAGACAGGUAGGUCCCCUGCCCCAUAUGCCUCCUCUUUGUGGGUUGGAGAGACUGUGUCUCCAGAUACCGUGCACAUUCGGACCAGGAAGCAGCUGGCUUGCUCUCUGGGGCCACCUGUGGUCCUGUGGUUGCUGUGUGGCUUAGGUCUCCUGUCCAUGAACUGAGGGGGUGGAAGCUGACCUCAG
rnacentral:lncRNA from 1 species